rnacentral:rRNA from 1 species
CAGUAGCCACGGUAAAACGAAGAGGGCUAGCGUUGCUCGGAAUCACUGGGCGUAAGGGUGCGUAGGCGGGUCUUUAAGUCAGGGGUGAAAUCCUGGAGCUCAACUCCAGAACUGCCUUUGAUACUGAAGAUCUUGAGUUCGGUAGAGGUGAGUGGAACUGCGAGUGUAGAGGUGAAAUUCGUAGAUAUUCGCAAGAACACCAGUGGCGAAGGCGGCUCACUGGCCCGAUACUGACGCUGAGGCACGAAAGCGUGGGGAGCAAACAGGAUUAGAUACCCCCGUAGUCCCUGUCUCUUAUACC